rnacentral:rRNA from 1 species
AACGAACGCUGGCGGCAUGCCUAACACAUGCAAGUCGAACGAGACCUUCGGGUCUAGUGGCGCACGGGUGCGUAACGCGUGGGAACCUGCCCUUAGGUUCGGAAUAACUCCCCGAAAGGGGUGCUAAUACCGGUUAAUGUCUUCGGACCAAAGAUUUAUCGCCUUUGGAUGGGCCCGCGUUGGAUUAGCUAGUUGGUAGGGUAAAAGCCUACCAAGGGGACGAUGCAUAGCUGGUGUGAGAGGAUGAUCAGCCACACUGGGACUGAGACACGGCCCAGACUGCUACGGGAGGCAGCAGUGGGGAAUAUUGGACAAUGGGCGAAAGCCUGAUCCAGCCAUGCCGCGUGAGUGAUGAAGGCCUUAGGGUUGUAAAGCUCUUUUACCCGGGAUGAUAAUGACAGUACCGGGAGAAUAAGCUCCGGCUAACUCCGUG